rnacentral:rRNA from 1 species
GAGUUUGAUCGUGGCUCAGAUUGAACGCUGGCGGCAUGCCUUACACAUGCAAGUCGAACGGCAGCACGGGAGCUUGCUCCUGGUGGCGAGUGGCGAACGGGUGAGUAAUGCAUCGGAACGUAUCCUGGAGUGGGGGGAUAACGUAGCGAAAGUUACGCUAAUACCGCAUAUUCUGUGAGCAGGAAAGCGGGGGACCUUCGGGCCUCGCGCUCUUGGAGCGGCCGAUGUCGGGAUUAGCUAGUUGGUGAGGUAAAGGCUCACCAAGGCGACGAUCCGUAGCAGGUCUGAGAGGAUGAUCUGCCACACUGGAACUGAGACACGGUCCAGACUCCUACGGGAGGCAGCAGUGGGGAAUUUUGGACAAUGGGGGCAACCCUGAUCCAGCCAUGCCGCGUGAGUGAAAGAAGGCC